rnacentral:rRNA from 1 species
UAGUAAUGGCAGGUCAGCAUACUGCCGUGAAUACGUUCCCGGGCCUUGUACACACCGCCCGUCACACCAUGAGAGUUGGGAAUACCCGAAGCCUGUGAGCUAACUAUACGAGGCAGCAGUCGAAGGUAGAAUCAAUGAUUGGGGUGAAGUCGUAACAAGGUAAC